rnacentral:lncRNA from 1 species
GCGUGCCAACACGGCUGAACGGCGAGGUCGCCCGGGAUGGUGCCCCAGACCCUAGGACCCCACGAACACCAGGGAUGGCCACAGAGGGGGAGCAGACAGCACGGGGUAGGCCACAGCACGGCCCCACCCCAGGCCACUUGUACUGGCACCCAGGUGCCCUGGGGGCCAGGUCCUGCCCAGGCCAGACCAGGGACCCAACCACGAGACCAGAGAGGAAAAGGAGCCAGUGGUGCAAAGAUGCCCCCAGCGCUCCCGAGCUCCAUUAGUGCAUGGAGGUCGGGUCCGGUCUGCAGGAGAUUGGAAGGGCCGGCCUGCGGGGGCCACAGAGAGGCUGUCCCAGUGGGCCCAGGAGGACACCGUGCAGGACGAUCUGGGUGUCUGGCGAGGAGACUCUAAAGGCUGGGCGGCCCCCGUCUGGAAGAGCCCAAUUAUUAGGGAAGUGGAACAGGAGCUGCAGGAAGUUCUGACCCCGAGGGGCCCACGCUUGGUACCCCUGUCCUCUGAGCGCUGGUCCCUUGUUCCUCGUGCCAGGGAUCGAUGUGAUAUUGGCUCCAUUUUACCAAGAGGAAAACCAGGCUCCAAGGUGGGCAUCGGCUCUCUUCACCGCCCACUGCACUGGGGUCCUCCUGGGAAGCCCCCAGGCUGCUUGGCUGAGGAGGGCUUGGCUGGGGGGCUGCUGCAGGCACCCCCCUCAACUUAACUCCAGGCUAGCUCAGCAGCUGGGUCCUCCCUUCCCAGAGGACUUUCCAAAACAAAGGAGGGUCCCAGGCAGGCCUGGAUGCCCCUGCCUCAGCCCCUGGCCCCUCCAAUUUUGCACACAGGGACUCAGG